rnacentral:rRNA from 1 species
UACGGGAGGCAGCAGUGGGGAAUUUUGGACAAUGGGCGCAAGCCUGAUCCAGCCAUGCCGCGUGAGUGAAGAAGGCCUUCGGGUUGUAAAGCUCUUUCAGCCGGGAAGAAAACGCAUGGGUUAAUACCCUGUGUGGAUGACGGUACCGGAAUAAGAAGCACCGGCUAACUACGUGCCAGCAGCCGCGGUAAUACGUAGGGUGCGAGCGUUAAUCGGAAUUACUGGGCGUAAAGCGUGCGCAGGCGGUUUGUUAAGAUAGGCGUGAAAUCCCCGGGCUCAACCUGGGAACUGCGUUUAUGACUGGCAGGCUAGAGUAUGGCAGAGGGGGGUGGAAUUCCACGUGUAGCAGUGAAAUGCGUAGAGAUGUGGAGGAACACCGAUGGCGAAGGCAGCCCCCUGGGCCAAUACUGACGCUCAUGCACGAAAGCGUGGGUAGCAAACAGGAUUAGAUACCCUGGUAGUCCACGCCCUAAACGAUGUCAACUAGGUGUUGGGAGGGUAAACCUUUUAGUACCGGA